AAUGAACGUUGGCGGCGUGGAUUAGGCAUGCAAGUCGAGCGAGAACCCCGCAAGGGGGGACAGCGGCGAAAGGGACAGUAAUGUGUAGAUUAUCUGCCCUCAGGUCCGGGAUAGCUGCGGGAAACUGCAGGUAAUACCGGAUAACAUCUCCGGAUCAAAGGUGUGAUUCCGCCUGAGGAUGAGUCUGCAUCCUAUUAGCUAGUUGGUGGGGUAAUGGCCUACCAAGGCAUUGAUGGGUAGCAGGUGUGAGAGCACGACCUGCGUCAUUGGGACUGAGACACUGCGAAGACACCUACGGGUGGCUGCAGUCGAGAAUCUUCGGCAAUGGGAGGAAGCCUGACCGAGCGACGCCGCGUGUGGGAUGAAGGCCUUCGGGUUGUAAACCACUGUCAGAGGGGAUGAAAUGCAGGUGGGUUCUCCCAUCUGUUUGACAUAGCCUCAGAGGAAGGACGGGCUAAGUUCGUG
rnacentral:rRNA from 1 species